UACGUAGGUGGCGAGCGUUAUCCGGAAUGAUUGGGCGUAAAGGGUGCGUAGGCGGAUUUGUAAGUCAGCGGUAAAAAUGCGGUGCUCAACGCCGUAUCGCCGUUGAAACUGCAGGUCUUGAGUGAGCGAGAAGUAUGCGGUAUGCGUGGUGUAGCGGUGAAAUGCAUAGAUAUCACGCAGAACUCCGAUUGCGAAGGCAGCAUGCCGGCUCCACACUGACGCUGAGGCACGAAAGCGUGGGUAUCGAACAGG
rnacentral:rRNA from 1 species